CCUACGGGGGGCAGCAGUGGGGAAUAUUGCACAAUGGGGGAAACCCUGAUGCAGCAACGCGGCGUGAGCGAUGAAGGCCUUCGGGUCGUAAAGCUCUGUCCUAAGGGAAGAAGACUGACGGUACCUUAGGAGGAAGCCCCGGCUAACUACGUGCCAGCAGCCGCGGUAAUACGUAGGGGGCUAGCGGUAUCCGGAAUUACUGGGCGUAAAGGGUGCGUAGGCGGCCCUACAAGUCAGAGGUGAAAGGCAACGGCUCAACCGUAGUAAGCCUUUGAAACUGUAGGGAUUGGGUGUAGGGGAGGUGAGUGGAAUUCCCAGUGUAGCGGUGAAAUGCGUGGAUAUUGGGAGGAACACCAGUUGCGAAGGCGGCUCUCUGGACUGUAACUGACGCUGCGGCACGAAAGCGUGGGGAGCGAACAGGAUUAGAUACCCGAGUAGUC
rnacentral:rRNA from 1 species